rnacentral:tRNA from 1 species
GCCUUCAUGGUGCAGUGGUCAGCACCCUCGACGCCUAUUCGAGAGGUCCGUGGUUCGAGUCCCGGCGAGGGCA